rnacentral:rRNA from 1 species
UACGGAGGGUGAAAGCGUUAUCCGGAUUCACUGGGUUUAAAGGGUGCGUAGGUGGGCAGGUAAGUCAGUGGUGAAAUCUCCGGGCUUAACCCGGAAACUGCCAUUGAUACUAUCAGUCUUGAAUACCGUGGAGGUAAGCGGAAUAUGUCAUGUAGCGGUGAAAUGCUUAGAUAUGACAUAGAACACCAAUUGCGAAGGCAGCUUACUACCCGAAUAUUGACACUGAGGCACGAAAGCGUGGGGAUCAAACAGG